rnacentral:rRNA from 1 species
UACGUAGGGGGCAAGCGUUGUCCGGAUUUAUUGGGCGUAAAGAGCGUGUAGGCGGCUUUACAGGUCCGUUGUGAAAACUCGAGGCUCAACCUCGAGACGCCGGUGGAAACCGUAAAGCUAGAGUCCGGAAGAGGAGAGUGGAAUUCCUGGUGUAGCGGUGAAAUGCGUAGAUAUCAGGAGGAAUACCGGUGGCGAAAGCGACUCUCUGGACGGCAACUGACGCUGAGGCACGAAAGCGUGGGGAGCAAACAGG